rnacentral:rRNA from 1 species
AUUGAACGCUGGCGGCAGGCCUAACACAUGCAAGUCGACAGCGGCGGACGGGUGAGUAACACGUGGGUAACCUGCCCAUCAGAAGGGGAUAAAACUUGGAAACAUGUGCUAAUACCGUAUACUGACGGAUGGACCCGUGGUGCAUUAACUAGUUGGUGAGGUAACGGCUCACCAAGGCCACGCUGCAUAGCCGACCUGAGAGGGUGAUCGGCCACAUUGGGACUGAGCCACAGCCCAGACUCCUACGGGAGGCAGAAGUAGGGAAUCUUCGGCAAUAGACGAAGGUCUGACCGAACGACGCCGCGUGAGUGAAGAAGGUUUUCUGAUCGUAAAACUCUGUUGUUAGAGAAGCGGUAUCUAACCAGAAAGCCACGGCUAACUACGUGCCAGCCGCCGCGGUAAUUC